UUGGAGGGCAAGUCUGGUGCCAGCAGCCGCGGUAAUUCCAGCUCCAAUAGCGUAUAUUAAAGUUGCUGCAGUUAAAAAGCUCGUAGUUGAAUUUCGGGACCAUCAUGUCGGUCGUGCCUCGGUACGUACUGGUAUUGUUGGUUUCUCCCUUCUGACGAACCAUGAUGUCAUUUAUUUGGUGUUGUGGGGAAUCAGGACUGUUACUUUGAAAAAAUUAGAGUGUUUAAAGCAGGCUCACGCUUGAAUACAUUAGCAUGGAAUAAUGAAAUAGGACGUUUGAUUCUAUUUUGUUGGUUUCUAGGAUCGACGUAAUGAUUAAUAGGGAUAGUUGGGGGCAUUAGUAUUCAAUUGUCAGAGGUGAAAUUCUUGGAUUUAUUGAAGACUAACUACUGCGAAAGCAUUUGCCAAGGAUGUUUUCAUUAAUCAAGAACGAAAGUUAGGGGAUCGAAGACGAUCAGAUACCGUCGUAGUCUUAACCAUAAACUAUGCCGACUAGGGAUCGGAUGAUGUUAAUUUUUAAUGACUCGUUCGGC
rnacentral:rRNA from 1 species